GACGAACGCUGGCGGCGUGCCUAAUACAUGCAAGUAGAACGCUGAAGGAGGAGCUUGCUUCUCUGGAUGAGUUGCGAACGGGCGAGUAACGCGUAGGUAACCUGCCUGGUAGCGGGGGAUAACUAUUGGAAACGAUAGCUAAUACCGCAUAAUAGUAGAUGUUGCAUGACAUUUGCUUAAAAGGUGCAAUUGCAUCACUACCAGAUGGACCUGCGUUGUAUUAGCUAGUUGGUGGGGAACGGCUCACCAAGGCGACGAUACAUAGCCGACCUGAGAGGGUGAUCGGCCACACUGGGACUGAGACACGGCCCAGACUCCUACGGGAGGCAGCAGUAGGGAAUCUUCGGCAAUGGACGGAAGUCUGACCGAGCAACGCCGCGUGAGUGAAGAAGGUUUUCGGAUCGUAAAGCUCUGUUGUAAGAGAAGAACGAGUGUGAGAGUGGAAAGUUCACACUGUGACGGUAUCUUACCAGAAAGGGACGGCUAACUACGUG
rnacentral:rRNA from 1 species